rnacentral:lncRNA from 1 species
CGGGCGCACCGCGAGGGUGGACGCCUCGUGCUGCGGCAGAUGCGCCUGCCGUCGCAGGAGCUGCUGCAGCCCUGCAAGGAGGACGGCAGGUUCAAGCUCCUCAUGCACCCGGAGGCCCGCGCGCGGCCGUGCGGGGGCGGCACACUGCAGGAACGGCAAGGGAAUGAUAGCUAGCGCUCUUAAUUGAUCAGCUGAUCAGAUGAUCUGCCGCCACGCACACGUCGUCUUGUAUGGGCUGGCUGCUACAAUGCAACCGGUAGAUCUCCCUGCUUAGUUUCUUGAGAUCGAGGGCUCCAGUUCUUGCUUUGCAUUCUGCAACCGUUGUCCAAAUGUCCACAAUCUUUGCCUUCCGUCAAAUUUUAAUACAUGGUCGGAACAUUGAGGCAUUUUGUCUUGUCCAUUCGCGUUCAGCACUUUACACUGCGGCAUGUUUGUUUUGUGCUGCUUUCAUCUGUUGCAUUGCAUGGGAUGGGAAUGCUCCACGCAGCC